GAGAAGGUGUGUUCAGUGGCCAGCCUGAUCAUCUCUGUCACACACAACGGGACGGUCAACUGCGUCAGGAAGGUGGGAGGCAGCCUGGACCCAGAGAGCAUCUUUGAGAUGACAGAGACAGGGAAACGGGUAGGGAAAGCCCUCAUGGAGCUUCUCCAGAAGGAGAGUCUGGGAAAGAAGAGACAGAAAAUUGGUCAGGAUUACACGAAUGUUCAGCAUUUAAGUGAAGUUAAAACCGUAGAGUACUGAUACGGUAUACCUCUAUAACUGAAUAUCUUUUUUCUGUAAUUGAGUAGAUACUCUUGACGGCGAUAGUCACUGUGUCCUAUUGUC